rnacentral:rRNA from 1 species
UCAGGCCUAAACACAUGCAAGUCCAGGCCUAACACAUGCAAGUCCAGGCCUAACACAUGCAAGUCGAACGAGACCUUCGGGUCUAGUGGCGCACGGGUGCGUAACACGUGGGAAUCUGCCCUUUGCUUCGGAAUAACAGUUAGAAAUGACUGCUAAUACCGGAUGAUGUCGAAAGACCAAAGAUUUAUCGGCAAAGGAUGAGCCCGCGUAGGAUUAGGUAGUUGGUGGGGUAAAGGCCUACCAAGCCGACGAUCCUUAGCUGGUCUGAGAGGAUGAUCAGCCACACUGGGACUGAGACACGGCCCAGACUCCUACGGGAGGCAGCAGUGGGGAAUAUUGGACAAUGGGCGAAAGCCUGAUCCAGCAAUGCCGCGUGAGUGAUGAAGGCCUUAAGGUUGUAAAGCUCUUUACCAGGGAUGAUA